rnacentral:lncRNA from 1 species
UUAAAAAUCAAAAUGAAUGCAAAAACCCACACAGGCUUAACAAUAGGUUUUAAACAAAGCCACCUCAGUAUUAUUGACUCUUCCUUUUGCAGUAGGUUCCAAUAUGGCUUGGCAUGGGCUAAAUAUUGUAACGCAGCAGUGCGCUGAGAUGUUCCUGGCUCUGGAGAGCCUAGAGACUCCCUGCUGUCUGCUGCAGCAGUUGUUGGGGUGGUCUUGGUUCCUCAGCAUCCAAGCCUCUCUCUACACUUACUACCUACUUGGCAACUGUCACCGUACUGCAGCCUCUUUCCUUGGUCACUGAGUGUCUCUUGCCUCCACCCAUACGGAUCUUACGAUCCUUCCAGACCCAACCCAAGUCCUACUUUUCCAUGAAAAGUUCUAACCUGACACCCCCAACCUCCCAGUGCCCACUUCACCUUUGUCUGAAAUGCUGCCCCACAAAUAAUUGUGCCCUACUUUGCAUUCUCAGGGAUGUUCUUUAAUAUUUCAAGCAAGACUGUGUAUUUCCCUACUAGAGUGUAUGUUCCUUAAGAUCAUGUUACAUUUCUCUCAUAUAUGUUAUACCACUGUGGUAGUUGGUAUGAAAGCGCCUGCCCCUAUAGGUUCAUACGUUUGAACAGUUGGUCCCCAGUUGGUGGCACUGUUUGGGGGGGUUAUGGAACUUUUAGGAGGCACAUCUUUGCUAGAGGAAAUAUGUCAUUGAUGGCAGGCUUUGAUCAGUUGUAGCCUCAUUCAAUUUCCUAUUUGCUUGCUCUGCUUCCUGUGAGCUAUUGAGAUGUGAUCUCUUUCUGCUUCCUGCUUCAGCCCCUGCUGUGAUGUUCCCCUUGCUGUCAUGGACUCUCCCUGUGGAACAUGAACCAAAAUAAACUCUUCUAUAAAUUGC